AUGAAAAAGAAAUGCAAACAAGCAAAAUGGCUGUCUGGGGAGGCCUUACAAAUAGCUGUGAAAAGCAAAGAAGAAAAGGAAAGAUAUAAGCAUCUGAAUGCAGUGUUCCAAAGAAUAGCAAGAAGAGAUAAGAAAGCCUUCCUCAGCAAUCAAUGCAAAGAAAUAGAGGAAAACAACAGAAUGGGAAAGACCAUCCCCAUGGAAAAGAAAUGCAAAAAAGCAAAAUGGCUGUCUGGGGAGGCCUUACAAAUAGCUGUGAAAAGAAGAGAAGCAAAAAGCAAAGGAGAAAAGGAAAGAUAUAAGCAUCUGAAUGCAGUGUUCCAAAGAAUAGCAAGAAGAGGUAAAAAAAAAAAAAAAAAAACCUUCCUCAGCAAUCAAUGCAAAGAAAUAGAGGAAAACAACAGAAUGGGAAACACUAGAGGUCUCUUCAAGAAAAUGAGAGAUACCAAGGGAACAUUUCAUGCAAAGAUGGGCUCGAUAAAGGACAGAAAUGGUAUGGACCUAACAGAAGCAGAAGAUAUUAAGAAGAGGUGGCAAGAAUACACAGAAGAACUGUACAAAAAAGAUCUUCACAACCCAGAUAAUCACAAUAGUGUGAACACUGACCUAGAGCCAGAUAUCCUGGAAUGCAAAGUCAAGUGGGCCUUAGAAAGCAUCACUAUGAACAAAGCUAGUGGAGGUGAUGGAAUUCCAGUUGAGCUAUUUCAAAUCCUGAAAGAUGAUGCUGUGAAAGUACUACAUUCAAUAUGCCAGCAAAUUUGGAAAACUCAGCAGUGGUCACAGGACUGGAAAAGGUCAGUUUUCAUUCCAAUGCCAAAGAAAGGCAAUGCCAAAGAAUGCUCAAACUACUGCACAAUUGCACUCAUCUCACAUGCUAGUAAAGUAAUGCUCAAAAUUCUCCAAGCCAGGCUUCAGCAAUACAUGAACCGUGAACUUCGAGAUGUUCAAGCUUGUUUUAGAAAAGGCAAAGGAACCAGAGAUCAAAUUGCCAACAUCCGCUGGCUCAUCAAAAAAGCAAGAGAGUUCCAGAAAAACAUCUAUUUCUGCUUUAUUGACUAUGCCAAAGCCUUUGACUGCAUGGAUCACAAUAAACUGUGGAAAAUUCUGAAAGAGAUGGAAAUACCAGACCACCUGACCUGCCUCUUGAGAAACCUAUAUGCAGGUCAGGAAGCAACAGUUAGAACUGGACAUGGAACAACAGACUGGUUCCAAAUAGGAAAAGGAGUACAUCAAGGCUGUAUAUUGUGA
rnacentral:lncRNA from 1 species